rnacentral:misc_RNA from 1 species
GGGAUUAGUUAGGAAUUCGGCCAGCAAUUAAGGGAGUUAGUAGUGCAUGAUUUUGAUGAAAGUGAAUGGCUACUUGAGGUGAAUUAAACAUGUAGACAAUGGAUUUACACUUCAAGUGCAUUAAAUCUCAUAAUUGUGAAAUUAGGGUUCUUAACCCUAUUGAAAAUUUGGGAAAAAUUGAGAAACUGGUCAAAUGAUGCAAAUGACCUUAAGUGAGGUUGAAAAUGGUCAAUUGGGACAAUUUGUGGUGUUUUUGAAUUGGUAGAAUGAAAUUACAAUUCGGAUUGGUUAGA